rnacentral:rRNA from 1 species
UCGGGUCUAGCGGCGGACGGGUUAGUAACGCGUGGGAACGUACCCUUUUCUACGGAAUAGCCUUUGGAAACGAAGAGUAAUACCGUAUACGCCCUUCGGGGGAAAGAUUUAUCGGAGAAGGAUCGGCCCGCGUUAGAUUAGAUAGUUGGUGGGGUAAUGGCCUACCAAGUCUACGAUCUAUAGCUGGUUUUAGAGGAUGAUCAGCAACACUGGGACUGAGACACGGCCCAGACUCCUACGGGAGGCAGCAGUGGGGAAUCUUAGACAAUGGGCGCAAGCCUGAUCUAGCCAUGCCGCGUGAGUGAAGAAGGCCUUAGGGUCGUAAAGCUCUUUCGCCAGGGAUGAUAAUGACAGUACCUGGUAAAGAAACCCCGGCUAACUCCGUGCCAGCAGCCGCGGUAAUACGGAGGGGGUUAGCGUUGUUCGGAAUUACUGGGCGUAAAGCGCACGUAGGCGGAUUAGAAAGUUAGAGGUGAAAUCCCAGGGCUCAACCCUGGAACUGCCUUUAAAACUCCUAGUCUUGAGUUC